rnacentral:rRNA from 1 species
UACGAAGGGGGCUAGCGUUGCUCGGAAUCACUGGGCGUAAAGCGCACGUAGGCGGCUUUUUAAGUCAGGGGUGAAAUCCUGGAGCUCAACUCCAGAACUGCCUUUGAUACUGAAAGUCUUGAGUAUGGGAGAGGUGAGUGGAACUGCGAGUGUAGAGGUGAAAUUCGUAGAUAUUCGCAAGAACACCAGUGGCGAAGGCGGCUCACUGGCCCAUUCUGACGCCUGAGGCACGGAAAGCGAUGGGGAGCAAACAGGG